GACAGUAUGGUGUAGUGGUUUAAAUGCUAGACUAGGACUCUGGUAGACCAAGGUUCAAAUCCCCACUCAGCCA